GGCGCGCUCGUGGCCUAAUGGUAUAAGGCGCUGACUUUUAAAUCUGAACUUCGGAACUGAGGGCGAGGGUUCGAAUCCCCCUGGGGUUC